AUUGAACGCUGGCGGCAUGCUUUACACAUGCAAGUCGAACGGCAGCGCGGGCUUCGGCCUGGCGGCGAGUGGCGAACGGGUGAGUAAUGCAUCGGAACGUGCCCAGUAGUUGGGGAUAGCCCGGCGAAAGCCGGAUUAAUACCGCAUACGACCUGAGGGUGAAAGCGGGGGACCGAAAGGCCUCGCGCUAUUGGAGCGGCCGAUGUCGGAUUAGCUAGUUGGUGGGGUAAAGGCUUACCAAGGCGACGAUCCGUAGCUGGUCUGAGAGGACGACCAGCCACACUGGGACUGAGACACGGCCCAGACUCCUACGGGAGGCAGCAGUGGGGAAUUUUGGACAAUGGGGGCAACCCUGAUCCAGCCAUGCCGCGUGCGGGAAGAAGGCCUUCGGGUUGUAAACCGCUUUUGUUCGGGAAGAAAUCCUCUGGGCUAAUACCCCGGGGGGAUGACGGUACCGGAAGAAUAAGCACCGGCUAACUACGUG
rnacentral:rRNA from 1 species